AACGAACGCUGGCGGCAGGCCUAACACAUGCAAGUCGAGCGCCCGCAAGGGAGCGGCAGACGGGUGAGUAACACGUGGGAACCUACCCUUUCCUACGGAAUAACACAGAGAAAUUUGUGCUAAUACCGUAUACGCCCUUCGGGGAAGAUUCAUCGGGGAAGGAUGGGCCCGCGUCCGAUUAGCUGGUUGGUGGGGUAAUGGCCUACCAAGGCGACGAUCGGUAGCUGGUCUGAGAGGAUGAUCAGCCACAUUGGGACUGAGACACGGCCCAAAACUCCUACGGGAGGCAGCAGUGGGGAAUAUUGGACAAUGGGCGCAAGCCUGAUCCAGCCAUGCCGCGUGAGUGAUGAAGGCCUUAGGGUUGUAAAGCUCUUUCACCCACGACGAUAAUGACGGUAGUGGGAGAAGAAGCCCGGCUAACUUCGUG
rnacentral:rRNA from 1 species